UACGGGCAUAUCACGGUGAAACACCGGUUUCCAUACGGUCAUCGAAGUUAAGCAACGUUGAGCCAGGUCAGUAACUAGAUCGGUGACUGCUUUGGAAUACCCGGUGCUGUU